rnacentral:rRNA from 1 species
UACGUAGGCAGCGAGCGUUGUUCGGAGUUAUUGGGCGUAAAGAGUGCGUAGGCGGUUUUGUAAGUUUGGGGUGAAAUCUCCCGGCUUAACUGGGAGGGUGCGCCGAAGACUGGAAGGCUUGAGUAUGGGAGAGGUAAGCGGAAUUCCUGGUGUAGCGGUGAAAUGCGUAGAUAUCAGGAGGAACACCUGCGGUGUAGACGGCUUACUGGACCGUAACUGACGCUGAGGCACGAAAGCGUGGGUAGCAAACGGG